CACCGCGGUUAUACGAGAGGCCCAAGUUGACAAGCAUCGGCGUAAAGUGUGGUUAGGGAAAGACACUCAAACUAAAGCCAAAUGCCCCCAAAGCUGUUAUACGCACCUGGAGGACAGAAGCUCAACCACGAAAGUGGCUUUAUUACACCUGAACCCACGAAAGCUAUGACA
rnacentral:rRNA from 1 species